AAUAGAUACCCCGGUAGUCCAUGCCGUAAACGAUGUCUACUAGCCGUUGGGGCCCUUGAGGCUUUAGUGGCGCAGCUAACGCGAUAAGUAGACCGCCUGGGGAGUACGGUCGCAAGACUAAAACUCAAAUGAAUUGACGGGGGCCCGCACAAGCGGUGGAGCAUGUGGUUUAAUUCGAUGCAACGCGAAGAACCUUACCUGGCCUUGACAUACAGAGAACUUUCCAGAGAUGGAUUGGUGCCUUCGGGAACUCUGAUACAGGUGCUGCAUGGCUGUCGUCAGCUCGUGUCGUGAGAUGUUGGGUUAAGUCCCGCAACGAGCGCAACCCUUUUCCUUAUUUGCCAGCACUUCGGGUGGGAACUUUAAGGAUACUGCCAGUGACAAACUGGAGGAAGGCGGGGACGACGUCAAGUCAUCAUGGCCCUUACGGCCAGGGCUACACACGUGCUACAAUGGUCGGUACAAAGGGUUGCUACUGCGCGAGCAGAUGCUAAUCUCAAAAAGCCGAUCGUAGUCCGGAUCGCAGU
rnacentral:rRNA from 1 species